UGGAAGUAAAAGUCGUAACAAGGUCUCCGUUGGUGAACCAGCGGAGGGAUCAUUACCGAGUGAAAACUCACCAACCCAUGUGAACAUACCUUCUGUUGCUUCGGCGGGACCGCCCCGGGCUCACUUGCUGUGCCCCGGAACCAGGCGCCCGUCGGGGAAAAAAAACAAACUCUUGAAUUUUUGAGGAUUAUCUGAGUGGCUCUUGAGCAAAUCAAUUAAAACUUUCAACAAUGGAUCUCUUGGUUCUGGCAUCGAUGAAGAACGCAGCGAAAUGCGAUAAGUAAUAUGAAUUGCAGAGUUAAGUGAAUCAUCGAAUUUUUGAACGCACAUUGCGCCCGCCAGUAUUCUGGCGGGCAUGCCUGUCUGAGCGUCAUUUCACCACUCGCCACCGGCUUCUUGCUGGAGGCGGCGUUGGGGAUCGGCUCCCUAUUGCUGGGUGCCGUCCCCUAAAUGAAGUGGCGGUCCCGCUGUGACCUCCUCUGCGUAGUAACUACAUUCUCGCAGGCGGAUAGCAGCGUGGCCACGCCGUAAAACCCCCAACUUUUUACUGGUUGACCUCAGAUCAGGUAGGAAUACCCGCUGAACUUAAGCAUAUCAAUAAGCGGAGGAA
rnacentral:misc_RNA from 1 species